GGCACUGUGGCUUAGUAGGUUAAAGUUCCUGUCUCAUAAACAUUAGAUCCUAGGUUUAAAUUCCCGGCGGUGCCU